rnacentral:rRNA from 1 species
AAACCGCGAGGUCAGGCUAAUCCCAAAAAAUAGCAUCUCAGUUCGGAUUGGAGUCUGCAACUCGACUCCAUGAAGUCGGAAUCGCUAGUAAUUCCAGAUCAGCAUGCUGGGGUGAAUGCGUUCCCGGGCCUUGUACACACCGCCCGUCAAGCCAUGGGAGCCGGGGGGUGCCUGAAGUUCGUGACCGCAAGGAGCGACCUAGGGCAAAACUGGUGACUGGGGCUAAGUCGUAACAAGGUACC